CGUACACUCCUGCGGGAGGCAGCAGUGGGGAAUAUUGGACAAUGGGCGCAAGCCUGAUCCAGCCAUGCCGCGUGAGUGAUGAAGGCCCUAGGGUUGUAAAGCUCUUUCACCGGUGAAGAUAAUGACGGUAACCGGAGAAGAAGCCCCGGCUAACUUCGUGCCAGCAGCCGCGGUAAUACGAAGGGGGCUAGCGUUGUUCGGAUUUACUGGGCGUAAAGCGCACGUAGGCGGACUAUUAAGUCAGGGGUGAAAUCCCGGGGCUCAACCCCGGAACUGCCUUUGAUACUGGUAGUCUUGAGUUCGAGAGAGGUGAGUGGAAUUCCGAGUGUAGAGGUGAAAUUCGUAGAUAUUCGGAGGAACACCAGUGGCGAAGGCGGCUCACUGGCUCGAUACUGACGCUGAGGUGCGAAAGCGUGGGGAGCAAACAGGAUUAGAUACCCCAGUAGUCCC
rnacentral:rRNA from 1 species